ACCAGAUGACUAGUGUUACCAGAUGACUAGUGUUACCAGAUGACUAGUGUUACCAGAUGACUAGUGUUACCAGAUGACUACAGAUGACUAGUGUUACCAGAUGACUAGUGUUACCAGAUGACUAGUGUUACCAGAUGACUACAUGACUAGUGUUACCAGAUGACUAUAGUUACCAGAUGACUAGUGUUACCAGAUGACUAGUGUUACCAGAUGACUAGUGUUACCAGAUGACUAGUGUUACCAGAUGACUAGUGUUACCAGAUGACUAGUGUUACCAGAUGACUAGUGUUAC